rnacentral:rRNA from 1 species
UCCGUAGGUGAACCUGCGGAAGGAUCAUUACCUUUCUAUCAGAAACCGCUCUAUACUCGGGCUUGCCUGACGUGUAAGCGGUCUGAUUCUCCCCAUGUCUUUUGCGCACUCUUGUUUCCUGGGCAGGCUCGCCUGCCAACAGGACAACCUACAACCCUUGCAAUUGCAAUCAGCGUCAGUAACAAGUAAUUAUUACAACUUUCAACAACGGAUCUCUUGGUUAUGGCAUCGAUGAAGAACGCAGCGAAAUGCGAUAAGUAGUGUGAAUUGCAGAAUUCAGUGAAUCAUCGAAUCUUUGAACGCACAUUGCGCCCCUUGGUAUUCCAUGGGGCAUGCCUGUUCGAGCGUCAUUUGUACCCUCAAGCUCUGCUUGGUGUUGGGUGUUUGUCAUACGACUCGCCUUAAAACAAUUGGCAGCCGGCACGAUAGCCUGAAGCGCAGCACAUUUUGCGCCUCUUGCUAUUGCUGUUGGCAUCCAUCAAGAUCUUUUGCUCUUGACCUCGGAUCAGGUAGGGAUACCCGCUGAACUUAAGCAUAUCAAUAAGCGGAGGA